AUCUGUAAUUUGAUGCCUUUUGGAGGUUUUUCCAUCUUUUCUUGGCUUCUUUAUGCACAUUAAUACCUGGGGUGCCCAAACUUUCGAUCCCCACUGUAUUUAACGUGUUUCUAGCAUGUUUGGUACUUCAUGACAUAUUUAAAUGUGUUUCAGGUAGUGAAUUAGAGUGUAAAGCAUGUCAUUUCCUGAUGCCAACAGGUGGCGCUAUGACUAACUGAAUAUUUGCAUGUAGAUGUCUUCAGGCCAGGACUCUUAUCACACCUGUGAAGUUUGGGGCAGAUCAGACAUUGUAUGCCUGAUUUACCACAGCUUCCUGUUUAAUGGCGAAACAUCAGACUUUGUCAGGCCGCCACGGACACGCCCUUCAACGUGGCGCUAUGGCUAACUGAAUAUUUGCAUGUAGAUGUCUUCAGGCCAGGACUCUUAUCACACAUGUGAAGUUUGCGGCAGAUCAGACAUUGUAUACCCGAAUUACAACAACUUCCUGUUUCAUGGCGAAACAACGAACUUUGUCAGGCUGCCACGGACACACCCUUCAGUGAAAACUCUAGAUCUUCGCAAUUUUUUUUUAAUGUCGCAAAGGCCUUAAGAUUAGACUGACCAAAUAUGAUGUAAAUCUCUAGGAGGAGUUCAUUAAAGUACAACGUCUGGAAAUGGCAAGAACUACACAGAUUUUGCAGAGAAAAUUCAAAAUAUCUCAAUUCCUGUUGGGUUUUCAGAUUUUGCACCCAGGGCCUUUUCUGUAGGUAUUGGGCUGUUACAUGUGUCUACCAAAUUUCAUACCUGUACGUGAAACGUAGCGCGAGGGGCACUUUGUUGAAAUCUUGUAGGUGGCGCUAUCGAGCCAUUUUGUCUCACCUAAUUCUGAAACCCAUAUCAGACUUAAAUUUUCACCACUUCUGACGCGUGUGCAAAGUUUCAUGAGUUUUCAAGCAUGUUUAGCCCCUCAAAAAUACGAUUCAUUUCGGAGAAUAAUAAUAAUUUACCAAGCAAUUACAAUAGGGUCCUCACACCAUCAGUGCACGGGCCCUAAUAACCUAGCAACCAUACCUUAAAAUCUCUGGUAAUAACACCAUAUUUUGCACACACCAAGUCAAAACCCAUGUCUAUAGGACAGUGGCGUAGCAAGUCAGCCCCGGGCCCAUAUGCAAAAAUUUUUUUACGGGCCCCCAUCGGUUUCGCACGGGGAGUGGGGAUGCGGGGGAUGCAUCUUAUGCGAAUGAGGACUUUAAUAUGAAUAAGAUAUUAUCACUUUAAAACAUGCAGACAAAAAUGGUAAAAACUUUUCUAGGAAUGACAACAACAGCACUACAGUACUACUAUAUGCGCUCCUCCAUCAUUAUGACUUUGCAUUGCGGAUCUAUUGUCAAAAAACGGCUUUUCAACACAGUCCAAGUUUGGAUUCAGCUGAUUUGUCUUUGGAAUUUCAGAAUGAUUUCAUCAUUUCAGUUGCGAUGAGUCCGAAGAUUAUUCCAGUCAUUAAUUGAUUCUGUCACAGACUUUUUUUAAUGCACGUUUUAUUCAUAAUAAAUUUACUAGAAGUUUCUUCUCUAAAUAUGUUUCCAUCACGAUUUAUGUGCAUUUUAUUUUAAUAAUGUGUUCAAUCUUUUAAACUACAUGAAUACAUCUUUCACUUAGACACAACCACUGCCAAAACUAUAUACAGGGCCUAAAACUAACUUUAGCCACAUCUGCCUAUGGCCGGUGAUUUAAGAAAAUUUUCCAGCCAUACAUAUUUUUUACUGGCCAUGAAACUGUUUUGCCAAAACAAACAAGCAGUAAUGACACCAACAUUUUAGAUACCAGUGAAGAUUCACAAUUCUCUAUUCAAAUUUCAAGACCACAUCUAAAACCACUAGUCUAACUAAUAUAAAUGUAAAACAUUAUUAAAGACAAAUAAACUGUCAGUAAUAAAAUAGCAAAUAAUCAAAUAACAAGCAAAAGCACAAAUAAAUACAAAUGAUAUCCAAAUGAUACAAAUAAAAUGAACCGUGCUUUUCAGGUUUUUCAGAUAGGUCUAACAGUAGUUUUUGUAGUACUUUCAGUACUCAACAGAAGUGAGGGAUAAUUUUCUUUGGCCUUUGUUGUUUGAUUAACAUUAAAAACACAGACAAUGCAUGUAUCUAAGAACUAUGUUUACUGGGAUACUCGUUAUUUUUUGACAUUUUUAAAUUAAUUUGUCCACUUAAGAGCAAAAUGUCAUGAAAGACAGCUCAGUUUAGUAUUUGUGCGCUGUGAAGAGAUGCUGAUUUUUGGGCAUGCGCUUGUUUGCGCACACAAAACUUUCCCCACAGCACACGAAAUGAGCUCCCUUUUGUGCCUUCUUGCACUUGAAUAUUUAAAUUGCCAAGGCUUAAACUCUCUUGAUGAUGCAGCGCUGGCCCGUCAACUGUCCCAAUCGUCGUUUGUUUGUUCACGUUCAUGCUUUGUUAGAAUUCAUAAAAAAUGUUACCAGCCAACUGGCGUGUGACACCAUUUUAUAUGCUCGCCAACACCAAAUUUUACUCACGUUUGGCGGUUGGCAAGUAUUAAUUUUAGGCCCUGUCUAUAAGUACAGCCCAAUUUUACAUGCUCUUUUCAAAAGUGUUCAACUUCAGUUCAAAACUGAACAUAUUACAUUUAAAUAAGACAUCAAUUUGCUAUAUUUCUACAGUAAUAUCAUAUUGAAAUAUUUUCAGAAUCUAAAAAAAUUAUCUAUCAAAACAUUAUCAAAACAAUUAGAUGUUGUUGAACAUCAGUGAUAAUGUACUCAUGUCCUCAGUGAUAAUCUGAUAAUAUUUAGUUUAUCUAAAUUGUCAUAAAACAAGACAAUACAUAAAGCCUGCUGUUUGAAGAUCAAAAUUCAAAGUUUUAUGUUGAUUAUUGCAUCUAAAUAUUAAACAGUUGGCUCAACUUAAAUUUAAAUUUUAAAGUUGACCUGAAACUAAAAGUUAAUUGAGCCAACUGACAAUUUUGCAGCAAUGCAGCAAGUCAACAUAAAAUUGAGAUCUGACCUCCAAAAUCUUUACAGUGUGUUUGUGAUGGCAAGAAAUGACAAAGCAAUCAAACAGUUGUCGCACUUUACCAUCUAACAGUCAAUUUGUUUAACAGAAUGACUAUUCAUUAUAUAAAGUGAUGACCUGCAAUUGUUAACUUAAAGUGUUAUUUCUGCUUGAUUUAACCUAUAAAACUUUGUUUUGUUGGUAUAUACUGAUGUAUGUACAUUGGUUUUUUUGACUAUGGUUGGCUUAUUGAUGUUAAAUUAAUAUUUUUGACGUUUUAAGAGGUUACCAUUUUUUUUUAUUCAUUAUUCCUUGCCCAAUUCCACAAGUUAAAGUGUACAUGGUACAGUUUAGAAGCAGCAGCAUGUGCAUGUUAUAGUGAUUUCACUAUACAAAUGGACCCUGGUUCCCUGUUAGAUGGUAAAGUGCAACACCUGUUUGGUUGCCUUCAUAACCUUUAUAACCUUGCCUUUAUUUUGGAUUAAAACUCAGUUUUAUGUUGAUUAUUUCAUUGAAAAUCUUCAGUUGGUUCAAUUAAAGUGCCAGUGUUAAAAAAAAAUUGAGUUCAUAUUAGGGAUGACCAUAAUUAAACGACAGUAAGACACUUGACUGAUUAAUACCUGUAGUAAACAAUUUAAGUAAUUUUUAAAAGUAAUAUGCUACACAUAUCAUUCAAAAUUGUGUUUUUGAGAGAAAAAAACAGAUAAGUUGUGUAUGUCAUAUUUUAUUUUAACAUUCAGAAAUGUAAAAUAUGUAUCAUUUACAAAUGAACACCAAACAUAUGCUAUUUUAUAAAAUAAAGAUAAAAAGUGCUGCUUUAUGCUGCUAUUUGCACAUGUAAAACUAAACUUUUGUGGUAUUUUAAUGGGUCACAAUUUAAUUCUAAUUUAACCUUCUAAUCUUUUCGGUUAACAGAUAAUGAUCUGUUAAAAGGCAUCGGCUGUCAGUCAGGAAAAAAAAAAAAAAAACAUCCAAAAUGAACAUCCCUACUUCAUAUAUUUCAAUUGUCAACAAAAAUGUUGAGAUCUAAACUCUAAAAUCUUUACAGUGUAUUUGUGAUGGCAUAAAAUGCCAAAGCAACCAAACAGAUGUCGCAAUUUACCAUCUAACAGGGGACCAAAGGCAUUUUGUUUAAUCAUAUCAAUAUUCACUGUAAAAAGUGGUCACCUGCAAUUGUUACAUUUUAAAGAGCUUUUUCUGCUUGAUUUAACCAAUAAAACUUGGUUUUGUUGUUAUAAAUUAAUGUACUCAGGUUGGUUCAGUAAGUUUUAAUAACUGACUUGAACAAAAUUAAUUUGCCAUUAUUAUAAUAAUAAUAAUAAUAAUAAUAAUAAUAUAAUAAUAAUAAUUUAUUCACCAUUCCGUGUCCAUUUUCACACAAGUUAAAGUGUACAUGGUAAAGUUAAGCAGCAGCAACAUGUGCAUGUUAUAGUGAUUUCAUUACACAAAAGGACACUGGUCCCCUGUUAGAUGGUAAUGUUUGACACCUGUUUGGUUGCCUUUAUAUUUAGCAAUAUUUCAUAAUCUGAUUAGCUCUGAAUGUAACAGCAAUGUUUGUAAUAAAACUAAAACACCAGUUCUUGCAAUUUAAAAAAAAAAAAAAAAAAACUAGAAAUAUUUUGAAGGUCAAAACUCAGUUUUAUGUUGAUUGUUGCA